GGAGUCUGGGCCGUGUCUCAGUCCCAAUGUGGCCGUUCAACCUCUCAGUCCGGCUACUGAUCGUCGACUUGGUGGGCCUUUACCCCACCAACUAUCUAAUCAGACGCGGGCCCAUCUCAUUCUGCCGGAGCUUUUCACACUGUUCCAUGCGGAACCGUGCGCUUAUGCGGUAUUAACAGUCGUUUCCAACUGGUAUCCCCCUGAAUGAGGCAGGUUGCCCACGCGUUACUCACCCGUCCGCCACUCAGUUAAAAGUGCUUCAUACCGAAAUAAUCCGCUCGAUUAACCUCGUUCGACUUGCAUGUGUUAAGCACGCCGCCAGCGUUCAUC
rnacentral:rRNA from 1 species